CCUUAAAAUUUGUGGAAAAAUUAUGAAAUUUUGUUUCCAUGUACUAUAAUGGUUGCAGGAGCUCAACUUGAUUGCGCAGAAAUUUAAGGGUGAGUUUGAAAUAGCACUAAAGGAGGAGGAAGAAGCAAGUCGACCUGAAUCAUCGACAACUGCUUCAAAUUCUUUGGAAAAUGUUACUCUGGAGAUAGAAUCUUCGAGAAUUACAAAGUUAAAAGACUUAGAGGAAAGAAAGAAAGAGUUGGUACGCUGCUUCCUUUAAUUUAUUAUUAAAAGAAGGUGGCAGGUUUGACUAAAAUUAUAAUUAUUUUUGUCAGAGAUUACUGGAAGAGGCGGUGCAGAGGUUGGAGAUUGAGUGGUCAUUGGUUCAACAGGAGUCGGCAAAGAAACCUUCACCAGGUAUUUUGUGACUGAGUUGCUUUUCACUCUAUUCUACAAUCUUUUAUACUUUGUGGUUGCUAAAAUCCUGUAAACCCCGAUAUAUAAGUUUUGAGAUUUCAUGCUGCUCCACCCAGAAAUUAUGAAAAAUGCAUUUUAUGAUAACCUUGUUGGCCUAUAAGCAAAGUAUGGACUGGUAUUUGUAGUUGAAAGGGGUGGUAUUUAGGUCCUUAGUAAUUUAGGAGGCUUAGUAGAAAUUGGAUUAUUUAUAGGAACUUUCUGCACUUUAGCCUCUUUUGGUUGCCCAAUGCAAGGAUUUAAGGGUGCGUUUGGUUCGCGCUAUCUUUUAAAGAUUCCUAGUAAUCCAAUGGGAAUAAAAAAAUAUGACGGUGUUUGGCUAAACGCACUAAGUAAUCUAGUUGGUAAUAUUGGAUUCACUUGGGAAUAAGAUUCACCCCAAAGUACUAAUCUUAUUCCCUUGAGGGAUGGUGGAUAUCCUCAUAUUAAUGGAUUUGAGUAAUCAUAAUAUAUCUAAUCUCUUUCUUUCUUCCUACCCGCCGGCUAAUUGAUAUUAGUUGUCUUUACACUCUAACCUUAUAUCUCUCUCUAAACUUUUUUUUCUCUCUCUAAACUAAGCUUUCUCUCUCUCUCUCUCUCUCUCUCUCUUUUUCUAAAAUUUCAACUCUCUCACUCCCUCUAAUUUUGACUAUAUUUUUCUUUCUAUUUUUUUAAUUAUGCUCUCUCUCUCUAAUUUAUACUCGCUCCCCCUUUUUUCUAAAAAGAUGUUGAAACUUUUGGUAACAUUAUCUAAAAUUAAAUAAAUAAAUAAAUAAAUAAAU
rnacentral:lncRNA from 1 species